UCGGGGUGCGCAGGCGCGAAAACUUUACAAUGCGGGCAACCGUGAUAAGGAAACCCCGAGUGCCAGCACAGGCUGGCUGUCCGCCAGUGUAAAAAACUGGUGAAGAAAGGGCCGGGCAAGACCGGUGCCAGCCGCCGCGGUAAUACCGGCGGCUCGAGUGGUGGCCGCUUUUACUGGGCUUAAAGGGUCCGUAGCUGGAUUCACAAGUCCCUUGAGAAAUCUAUCGGCUUAACUGAUAGGCGUUCAGGGGAUACUGUGGUUCUAGGGACCGGGAGAGGUGAGAGGUACUGCCGGGGUAGGAGUGAAAUCCUGUAAUCCCGGUGGGACGACCUAUAGCGAAGGCAUCUCACCAGAACGGCUCCGACAGUGAGGGACGAAAGCUGGGGGAGCAAACCGGAUUAGAUACCCGGGUAGUCCCAGCUGUAAACGAUGCGCGUUAGGUGUGUCAGUGACCACGUGUCACUGAUGUGCCGAAGGGAAACCGUGAAACGCGCCGCCUGGGGAGUACGGUCGCAAGGCUGAAACUUAAAGGAAUUGGCGGGGGAGCAC
rnacentral:rRNA from 1 species